UGAGCCGAAAUCCAAGAGUCUAAAGGAUGCUCAGCUGACUGAGCCACCCAGGCACGCCUAAGAAUUAUAUUUUUCAAGUGUGAGUUUCAGAAUGCCCCCAUCACAGGUACAGGAAAGGAGAAAGCAAGCAUGUAUCAAAGGAGUGCUCUCUCAGGUGCUAGACUGGACCUUGACUUGGGGAGACAAAGAUGAGUAAGAUGCAGCCCUUCUGGUUGUGGACUUUAACUUUCUGGACUGUGGGGGCCAGGGCAUACACCCACACACAACGCUGCAAAGGAGGUAUGUUUGAAGUGCUGAGGAGCACAGAGAAAAGGAGGAAUUUACUCCGCCAGGUGGAGUGGGAAGAUAAGAGGGUGGUUUUUUAAGAGCGGAGUCUGAGCUGGGUGUUAAAGGAUUUGCCUAACAGAUCAGUAUAUUGCAGAUGAGGGUGUGACCAUGGGGGCUUUGAGACUGGCAGGUAGUUAAGUUUGGUGGGUAUUUUGGUAACUAUCUGGGAAAACAGAUGAGGGUGGACUGGGUGGGAGUUUGGACAGUAUGGCAACUCCAUAGGAUUUGUGGUUUGGUGUGUCCAGAGUCUGUUCUGAGGGUGU